GUGCUCACUUCAGCAGCACAUAUACUAAAAUUGGAAUGAUACAGAGAAGAUAAGCAUGGCCCUUAUGCAAGGAUGACACGCAAAUUCGGGAAGCGUUCUAUAUAUAU